GCGCAGGUGGGGCCCCGCAUGGAGAAGACUGGGAGCCAGGAGCCUCCAGGCUCGGAGGGUGGCGGCCCUGCUGCUCCUGCUGCUCCUGGAGCCAGAGGCCAGGGCGCGGGACGCGCUUCCCGGGUGCCUCAGUCUUUCGCCCCGCUGGUGGGGUGCCAGCACUGGCUGGGGCAGAGCGCGAUGCGAUGCCCCCCGGCGCCCCCGAAAGACCAUCUGGGAGAAGCCUAAAGGUGGAGCAGCUGAGACCCACAGCCUCCCUCCAGGACCUGCCUCAGUCGUAGUGCUGCCAAGAUCCUCAGAGCCUCUUGGGUUUUGAAACAUCUUGAAAAGACAAGAAUAAACUAUAAAAUGGGAAGGUGUUACAGUGUCUGAAUGAUGCUCAGACCUUGAACUCCUAGAGGGAAGACGUGGCUGCCUUACCAGCACUGGCACUAUGUGAAUGCUCAGAUGCUCAUUCCCAGUGGCUGACUGAAGAGUAGUCCGUGUUACCGCCACUGCUCCUAGAAUGCUGAGAGGCUUGGGGAGUACUGGUGAGACACCUCGGGACACUUUGGUGGUGGUGCCUGGAGACAUUUGUGGAAGUCCAGGAGUUCCUAGGUGUCCCCAAUCCAUAAAUGUCCCUGUCCUGCACAAACCAGACUAGAUGCACAGUGGCUCUGAGGGGAUGAAGACUUGGCAGUCUAGUCAGCGACUAACCUGGAUGCGGCAGGUUCCUGAAAGUACCACAUGAUCUCUGCUUGUUUCCCUCCUCUCUUCCUUUGCCAUUUGAAUACCCACCAUACAUGAAGAGGCUCAGGUGAUUGAUGUCUGAGAACAGGAUGCUGACUGUUCCCUCAGGUAAGAGUUAAGUGCCAGACCUGGGCAAACCAUUUUGAGUACCUCCUAGCUCAUGUAUUUUAACUGCCUCUUUGUGGAGUGUAAACCUCUUAGACCAUAACCUAGAGGACCUUGGUGCAGAAAAGCUUAGCAGAUGGAGGGGAAAAUGGAAACAGAGUUGGAUAUAGAUGUUAGCCUCAGGGGAAAGAAUGUGGUUUGAGUUGGGAAAUGAGGAGGUGGGUAAAGGGAAGGUGCAGAUAUGUAUCAGGUGGCCCUCCUGCCAUCUCACUCCCUCUCUCUCCAUAGUAAGGAAACAUGAACAAAUAUUAACAGAACGUUCCCCAGGGCAGGUGCUGGCCCCGGUCACAGCCAUUCAUUCGCUUUGUAAUUAACUUGACGGUGUUACUUUAGCAUUAUUGAGUAUUUGAGUAUUAUUAUUUGAGGAGCACUGGGUUCAUGUACAGCCACCUCCCUGGGAAACCAGCUUUGCAAAAGCUUCCUGGGUCUCUUGAGGGGUGACAGGGAGGUGUCCACCUUGGGAGGAGACACCUGCCAGUCCCUGUCCCACUGGCCUGGUCUCUGGAGC